rnacentral:rRNA from 1 species
UACGGAGGGCGCACGCGUUGUUCGGAAUCAUUGGGCGUAAAGCGCGUGUAGGCGGCUUGGCAAGUCGGGUGUGAAAUCCCGGGGCCCAACCCCGGAACUGCAUUCGAAACUGCCUCGCUCGAGUCCCGGAGAGGAAGGCGGAAUUCCCGGUGUAGAGGUGAAAUUCGUAGAUAUCGGGAGGAACACCAGCGGCGAAGGCGGCCUUCUGGACGGUGACUGACGCUGAGACGCGAAAGAGUGGGGAGCAAACAGG